rnacentral:rRNA from 1 species
UACGUAGGGUGCAAGCGUUGUCCGGAAUUACUGGGCGUAAAGAGCUCGUAGGUGGUUUGUCACGUCGUCUGUGAAAUUCCACAGCUUAACUGUGGGCGUGCAGGCGAUGCGGGCUGACUUGAGUACUGUAGGGGUAACUGGAAUUCCUGGUGUAGCGGUGAAAUGCGCAGAUAUCAGGAGGAACACCGAUGGCGAAGGCAGGUUACUGGGCAGUCACUGACGCUGAGGAGCGAAAGCAUG